CAGCAGCCGCGGUAAUACGAAGGGGGCUAGCGUUGCUCGGAAUCACUGGGCGUAAAGGGUGCGUAGGCGGGUCUUUAAGUCAGGGGUGAAAUCCUGGAGCUCAACUCCAGAACUGCCUUUGAUACUGAAGAUCUUGAGUUCGGGAGAGGUGAGUGGAACUGCGAGUGUAGAGGUGAAAUUCGUAGAUAUUCGCUAGAACACCAGUGGCGAAGGCGGCUCACUGGCCCGAUACUGACGCUGAGGCACGAAAGCGUGGGGAGCAAACAGGAUUAGAUACCCGCGUAGUCCCUGUCUCUUAUAC
rnacentral:rRNA from 1 species